UACGUAGGGGGCGAGCGUUGUCCGGAUUUAUUGGGCGUAAAGGGCUCGUAGGUGGCCCUGCAAGUCGGACGUAAAAGUCCAGGGCUCAACCCUGGGAUGUCGUUCGAUACUGCAAGGCUAGAGGCCGGUAGGGGGAUCUGGAAUUCCUGGUGUAGCGGUGAAAUGCGCAGAUAUCAGGAGGAACACCGGUGGCGAAGGCGGGAUCCUGGGCCGGACCUGACGCUGAUGAGCGAAAGCUGGGGGAGCGAACAGGAUUAGAAACCCCCGUAGUCC
rnacentral:rRNA from 1 species